rnacentral:rRNA from 1 species
GAUGAACGCUGGCGGCGUGCCUAAUACAUGCAAGUCGAGCGAACAGAUGAGGAGCUUGCUCCUCUGACGUUAGCGGCGGACGGGUGAGUAACACGUGGAUAACCUACCUAUAAGACUGGGAUAACUUCGGGAAACCGGAGCUAAUACCGGAUAAUAUAUUGAACCGCAUGGUUCAAUAGUGAAAGACGGUUUUGCUGUCACUUAUAGAUGGAUCCGCGCCGCAUUAGCUAGUUGGUAAGGUAACGGCUUACCAAGGCAACGAUGCGUAGCCGACCUGAGAGGGUGAUCGGCCACACUGGAACUGAGACACGGUCCAGACUCCUACGGGAGGCAGCAGUAGGGAAUCUUCCGCAAUGGGCGAAAGCCUGACGGAGCAACGCUGCGUGAGUGAUGAAGGUCUUCGGAUCGUAAAACUCUGUUAUUAGGGAAGAACAAAUGUGUAAGUAACUAUGCACGCCUUGACGGUACCUAAUCAGAAAGCCACGGCUAACUACGUG